UACGUAGGGACCUAGCGUUGUCCGGAAUCAUUGGGCGUAAAGAGCUCGUAGGCGGCUUGUCACGUCGACUGUGAAAACCCGGGGCUCAACUCCGGGCCUGCAGUCGAUACGGGCUGGCUUGAGUGCGGUAGGGGAGACUGGAAUUCCUGGUGUAGCGGUGAAAUGUGUAGAGAUCGGGAGGAACACCGGUGGCGAAGGCGGGUCUCUGGGCAAUUCCUGACGCUGAGGCGCGAAAGCGUGGGGAGCAAACGGG
rnacentral:rRNA from 1 species